rnacentral:rRNA from 1 species
UGGGGAAUCUUAGACAAUGGGGGCAACCCUGAUCUAGCCAUGCCGCGUGAGUGACGAAGGCCUUAGGGUCGUAAAGCUCUUUCGCCGGGGAAGAUAAUGACGGUACCCGGAGAAGAAGUCCCGGCUAACUCCGUGCCAGCAGCCGCGGUAAUACGGAGGGGACUAGCGUUGUUCGGAAUUACUGGGCGUAAAGCGCACGUAGGCGGGCUGUUAAGUCGGGGGUGAAAUCCCGGGGCUCAACCCCGGAACUGCCUUCGAUACUGGCAGCCUUGAGACCGAGAGAGGUGAGUGGAAUUCCGAGUGUAGGGGUGAAAUUCGUAGAUAUUCGGAGGAACACCAGUGGCGAAGGCGGCUCACUGGCUCGGUACUGACGCUGAGGUGCGAAAGCGUGGGGAGCAAACAGGAUUAGAUACCCGCUUAGUCC